rnacentral:rRNA from 1 species
GUGGUUUAUUCGAAGCAACGCGAAGAACCUUACCAGGUCUUGACAUCCUCUGACAACCCUAGAGAUAGGGCUUCCCCUUCGGGGGCAGAGUGACAGGUGGUGCAUGGUUGUCGUCAGCUCGUGUCGUGAGAUGUUGGGUUAAGUCCCGCAACGAGCGCAACCCUUGAUCUUAGUUGCCAGCAUUCAGUUGGGCACUCUAAGGUGACUGCCGGUGACAAACCGGAGGAAGGUGGGGAUGACGUCAAAUCAUCAUGCCCCUUAUGACCUGGGCUACACACGUGCUACAAUGGGCANAACAAAGGGCAGCGAAGCCGCGAGGCUAAGCCAAUCCCACAAAUCUGUUCUCAGUUCGGAUCGCAGUCUGCAACUCGACUGCGUGAAGCUGGAAUCGCUAGUAAUCGCGGAUCAGCAUGCCGCGGUGAAUACGUUCCCGGGCCUUGUACACACCGCCCGUCACACCACGAGAGUUUGUAACACCCGAAGUCGGUGAGGUAACCUUUUGGAGCCAGCCGCCGAAGGUGGGACAGAUGAUUGGGGUGAAGUCGUAACAAGGUAGCCGUAUCGGAAGGUGCGGCUG